UUAUGGAGAGUUUGAUCCUGGCUCAGGAUGAACGCUAGCGGCGCGCUUGAUCCAUGCAAGUCGAACGAACCUACAUUCUUCGGAAGGUAGGUUAGUGGCGAACGGGUGAGUAACACGUUGGUGACCUGCCCCUGAGUGGGGGAUAACUACCCGAAAGGGUAGCUAAUCCCGCAUAAGUUCCGGCAUUCGUUUGCCGGAGGAAAGGCUUCGGCCGCUCGGGGAGGGGCCUGCGUUGGAUUAGCUAGUUGGUGGGGUAACGGCCUACCAAGGCGAUGAUCCAUAGGGGGCGUGAGAGCGUGACCCCCCACACUGGCACUGAGACACGGGCCAGACUCCUACGGGAGGCAGCAGGAAGGAAUCUUGCGCAAUGGGCGAAAGCCAGACGCAGCGACGCCGCGUGGGUGAUGAAGGCCUUCGGGUUGUAAAGCCCUUUUCCGAGGGAAGAGAAGGGACGGUACCUCGGGAAUAAGCCUCGGCUAACUACGUGCCAGCAGCCGCGGUAAUACGUAGGAGGCGAGCGUUAUCCGGAUUUACUGGGCGUAAAGAGCGCGCAGGCGGCUACGCAAGUCGUGCGUGAAAGCUCCCGGCUCAACUGGGAGAGGUCGUGCGAUACUUCGUGGCUAGAGGUCAGAAGAGGAGAGCGGAAUUCCCGGUGUAGCGGUGAAAUGCGUAGAUAUCGGGAGGAACACCAGUGGCGAAGGCGGCUCUCUGGUCUGCACCUGACGCUGAGGCGCGAAAGCGUGGGGAGCGAUCGGGAUUAGAUACCCCGGUAGUCCACGCCGUAAACGAUGGAUGCUAGGUGUUGGUGGUAUCGACCCCAUCGGCGCCGUAGCUAACGCGUUAAGCAUCCCGCCUGAGGAUUACGGCCGCAAGGCUAAAACUCAAAGGAAUUGACGGGGGCC
rnacentral:rRNA from 1 species